AUUCGUCAAAGUUCAGGUUGACUGAGGCGGCAGGUGUGCUGAUAUGCUGACGACAAACUCACUUCGUGUAACAUUUGUGUGUAUUGCAAGUUUCUUCGUUGUAUUGAGCACGAACAUUGCCUUCGCACAAAAAUGCUACAAUUAUGGAAAUGAACGGCUUUUUUGUUCCGAGCCUAAUAGCAACUGUGAUACAGCUGAGAACUCAUUGGUCAAAUGGUGUGAAACAAAGCUUUUCGCAAAAGUCCAGGAAACGGUGGAGAAUAAUUACUUCCUAAGAAAGCGCGCCCUGUCGUUUGAUCUAGUGGAAUGUCUCAGAGCGACAACCGAGGCAGACUGUGUAGCCAAGAGCUGCUUCUGGUUCUCCGGAAAAGACUGUAUUCCUAAAGAACUGGUUCCAUAAGCGAGUUAUAGAAAAUGAAGCCAGGAGUGAAAUCAUGUUUAUAUAUCAAUGCUGCACGACUUCUUUUUGUACCUUGCAUUUGAUAUGACUUUGCUGGUGUUAAUCGAAAUUUUUUUUACGUCUAUUUAUUGUAUUUUAAUUUUUGUGUUAAUGAAAAUAAACCUUUGCUAUUCAUU
rnacentral:misc_RNA from 1 species